GAAACCGUUUAUGUUUUUGCAAAGUGAGACCAAAGGUAAAGGUUGUGAUGCACUGGACAUCUUGCACUUGCCUCCUCAAAAGGAGUCUUAUUUGUGUGCAGUGGCGCUUGAGAUACUCCAAUGGGGCAAAGUGAAUCAGGUCAGAAACGUAGAGUUUGGAGUCUGUAUUAUUUGAAGCAGUAAUUGCACUGCAGGUCACUAGCUAAGAAGCUGCUGUUUGUAAGGUAAAUAUUUUGUAUCAAGUCAUUACUCAGUUUGUUAUGAGCUGUGGAUGGAUAAUAAAAAAGACUACAGUAAUAUCUGGAUGAUAGUCUCUACACUGAUCAACUGCAAAUGAUCUGAUUAAGUCAGCUGCUAAUUCCCAGUUUAAUUAAUCCUGAUGGGCUAUUGAUGCGCUACAACUGUUUGUCCUAAUAAUGAGUUUUGAAAUUAGACUGUGACAAGACACUUAGACAGCUGCCAAGGAAAAUAAUCAUUUAAGAACGCGAGCAAUGAAGAUGACAGAGGAGGAAUGGCUGCUAUUUGACAGAAAAUUCACAUGGCUGUGUCACAUGUGUUUUAUUUUUACAUUUGGAGCACAUUAACUGUACCAGCAGUAAGUGGUGACUGCAAGACACAUAACUAGCUUUACAAUUAAGGAUGCUACUUCUCAUCAGUAUGCAAAAGCUAAACAUGAAACAUGAAGUGUGUUAAUAGCAGAAUAUAUGUAGCUACAGAUCAUUGAACAAUUUAGGUCAGUCCUUUGCAAUGUUUAAUUAGACUAAUAUAUCUGUUUGCAAUUAAUAACAGAUGUGACAAGCUAAUGUGUCCAUGUACUGACAAAUUAACCUUUGCCCAUCAGCUGCUCAGAUCUGUGAGAAAAGUGCCAUAUUUUGCCUCUGUUCAAUUGAACCUAAAUAAAAUUGCAGGAUAAUUAUAAACAUAAAUGUUAUUAGAAUGUGCUUUCCAUGGGAAGCAUGAGCCAAACGAGAGCAUUUCUCAGCCAGGUCAUCAUACUGUACUUUGCCACGUGACAAAAACUGCAAAUAAUAUUUUUCAAUUUGUCUUGGUGCAAUUAGUGUUUGGUUUGACAGAUGCUAGUUGGAUAGUUCUUAUCUUCAAUGGACCUGGGACAUACCGGAGCCCCCAUAUUAAGAGCCAGGGAACAUGUGCAGACUCUGGAGCCUGGCUUCAUGCUGUGAUGGCUGGAAACCUGUUGUGUGAUGCAACACUGAGGAGCAAGCAAGCCCGGGGCUCCUACUGUGACCCAAGAGAGAAGGGGCUCCAGACCUGGGCAGGCAUAGUCAUUCUUCAAACUAAGAAUAAAUCAGAAAGGUGUGUAAUCUGAAUCAACCAACACUUGAGAAAAGAAGAUUGUGGCCUAUUUUGACACACAAAUACUCUCAAAGAAGCAAGCAGUCAUAAUUCUACCCUUGAAGACCCUAUUUGAGGACAAUGGGGAUAAGGGUAGAAGAAAGGAAUAAGUCCUACGACAGAAAAUACCACCCAAAAAAGUUAAGGUACAAACCGAAUCCCGCCUCCAUGUCAGCAUGCCUACAAAAGAGGUGUGCCUCUGCCUAAGCACUGGGUGGAGUUCCAAGCUCUUCCGUUUCUUUUAGGAAUAAAUUUUAUCUUUGGUGAUGUGAUGGUGUGAGG
ensembl:lncRNA